GAUGAACGCUGGCGGCGUGCUUAAUACAUGCAAGUCGAACGGAGAGUAGUAAUACUCUUAGUGGCGAACGGGUGAGUAACGCGUUGGUGACCUGCCCCGAAGUCUGGGAUAACAGCUCGAAAGGGCUGCUAAUACCGGAUGUGGUUUUAGAGCUUAGAAAUCUAUCUCUAAAGGCGUUGUGCGUACUGCGUACGCUCCGCUUCGGGAGGGACCUGCGUCCCAUCAGCUAGUUGGUGAGGUAACGGCUCACCAAGGCGACGACGGGUAGGGGGCCUGAGAGGGUGAUCCCCCACACUGGCACUGAAACACGGGCCAGACACCUACGGGUGGCAGCAGUAGGGAAUAUUGCACAAUGGGCGCAAGCCUGAUGCAGCAACGCCGCGUGCGCGAUGAAGGCCUUCGGGUUGUAAAGCGCUUUUCUGGAGGACGAGGAAGGACGGUACUCCAGGAAUAAGGCUCGGCUAACUACGUGCCAGCAGCCGCGGUAAAACGUAGGAGCCAAGCGUUAUCCGAAUUUACUGGGCGUAAAGCGCGUGUAGGCGGUUGGGUAAGUUGGCUGUGAAAUCUCCCGGCUCAACUGGGAGAGGCCGGUCAAGACUGCCUGGCUGGAGGAUGGUAGAGGGAGGUGGAAUUCCGGGUGUAGUGGUGAAAUGCGUAGAUAUCCGGAGGAACACCAGUGGCGAAAGCGGCCUCCUGGACCAUACCUGACGCUCAGACGCGAAAGCUAGGGGAGUGAACGGGAUUAGAAACCCCGGUAAUCCUAGCCGUAAACGAUGUGGACUUGGCGUUGGUGGGGUAAAAGCCAUCAGUGCCGGAGCUAACGCGGUAAGUCCACCGCCUGGGGA
rnacentral:rRNA from 1 species